rnacentral:misc_RNA from 1 species
GAAAUGCGAUAAGUAAUGUGAAUUGCAGAAUUCAGUGAAUCAUCGAAUCUUUGAACGCACCUUGCGCUCCUUGGUAUUCCUUGGAGCACGCCUGUUUGAGUAUCAUGAAAUCUUCAAAGUAAAUCUUUUGUUAACUCAAUUGGUUUCUACUUUGGUAUUGGAGGUCUUUGCAGCUUCACACCUGCUCCUCUUUGUUCAUUAGCUGGAUCUCAGUGUUAUGUUUGGUUCCACUCGGCGUGAUAAGUUAUCUAUCGCUGAGGACACUGUAAAAGGUGGCCAAGGUAAAUGCAGAUGAACCGCUUCUAAUAGUCCAUUGACUUGGACAAUACUUUUAUGAUCUGAUCUCAAAUCAGGUAGGACUACCCGCUGAACUUAAGC